UUAAAGGUGGCAAGAAGGUUGGCAUCAACCCCAAGAUUAACAACUUAAUGCCUGGCUAUGAAGUUGCCAAAUAUGAUCUAAUAUGGAUUUGUGAUAGUGGAAUCAGAGUUACACCGGACACUCUGACAGAUAUGGCCAACCAAAUGACUGAGAAAGUAGGAUUGGUCCAUGGUCUUCCCUAUGUUGCUGACAGACAAGGAUUUG